rnacentral:rRNA from 1 species
GAUGAACGCUGGCGGCGUGCCUAAUACAUGCAAGUCGAGCGAAUGGAUUAAGAGCUUGCUCUUAUGAAGUUAGCGGCGGACGGGUGAGUAACACGUGGGUAACCUGCCCAUAAGACUGGGAUAACUCCGGGAAACCGGGGCUAAUACCGGAUAACAUGUUGAACCGCAUGUUUCGAAAUUGAAAGGCGGCUUCGGCUGUCACUUAUGGAUGGACCCGCGUCGCAUUAGCUAGUUGGUGAGGUAACGGCUCACCAAGGCAACGAUGCGUAGCCGACCUGAGAGGGUGAUCGGCCACACUGGGACUGAGACACGGCCCAGACUCCUACGGGAGGCAGCAGUAGGGAAUCUUCCGCAAUGGACGAAAGUCUGACGGAGCAACGCCGCGUGAGUGAUGAAGGCUUUCGGGUCGUAAAACUCUGUUGUUAGGGAAGAACAAGUGCUAGUUGAAUAAGCUGGCACCUUGACGGUACCUAACCAGAAAGCCACGGCUAACUACGUGCCAGCAGCCGCGGUAA